rnacentral:tRNA from 1 species
GGCCUCGUAGCUCAGCUGGUAGAGCAUGCGCGUACAGAGCGCAGGCGACUUCCAUGCGUGGGUUCGAAUCCCACCGAGGCUA